AUUGAACGCUGGCGGCAUGCUUUACACAUGCAAGUCGAACGGUAACAGGUUAAGCUGACGAGUGGCGAACGGGUGAGUAAUGCAUCGGAACGUGCCCGAUCGUGGGGGAUAACGCAGCGAAAGCUGCGCUAAUACCGCAUACGAUCUGAGGAUGAAAGCGGGGGACCGUAAGGCCUCGCGCGAUCGGAGCGGCCGAUGUCAGAUUAGGUAGUUGGUGGGGUAAAGGCUCACCAAGCCGACGAUCUGUAGCUGGUCUGAGAGGACGACCAGCCACACUGGGACUGAGACACGGCCCAGACUCCUACGGGAGGCAGCAGUGGGGAAUUUUGGACAAUGGGCGCAAGCCUGAUCCAGCAAUGCCGCGUGCAGGAAGAAGGCCUUCGGGUUGUAAACUGCUUUUGUACGGAACGAAAAGGCGCCUACUAAUACUGGGUGUUGAUGACGGUACCGUAAGAAUAAGCACCGGCUAACUACGUGCCAGCAGCCGCCGUAA
rnacentral:rRNA from 1 species